AGCGAACGCUGGCGGCAGGCCUAACACAUGCAAGUCGAACGGACCCUUCGGGGUUAGUGGCGGACGGGUGAGUAACACGUGGGAACGUGCCUUUAGGUUCGGAAUAGCUCCUGGAAACGGGUGGUAAUGCCGAAUGUGCCCUUCGGGGGAAAGAUUUAUCGCCUUUAGAGCGGCCCGAGUCUGAUUAGCUAGUUGGUGAGGUAAUGGCUCACCAAGGCGACGAUCAGUAGCUGGUCUGAGAGGAUGACCAGCCACAUUGGGACUGAGACACGGCCCAAACUCCUACGGGAGGCAGCAGUGGGGAAUUUUGCGCAAUGGGCGAAAGCCUGACGCAGCCAUGCCGCGUGGAUGAUGAAGGUCUUAGGAUUGUAAAAUCCUUUCACCGGUGAAGAUAAUGACGGUACCCACAGAAGAAGCCCCGGCUAACUCCGUGCCAGCCGCCGCGGUAAAAC
rnacentral:rRNA from 1 species